GCACUAGUCGGGGAGCCAGCGGUGCCCUGUAACCUGCAAUCCGCUAUAGCAGGGACGAAUUCCCGGCCGAGGGUGUGUUCUGUGUCGUCUGACCCCGGUAAGCAGCGUUGACGAUCCGGUCUCGCGCAAGGUCAACCCGUGAACCAUGUCAGGCGGGGAACCGAGCAGCAUUAAGCGGUGCCUGGCUUGUGCCGCGAGGUCGCCGGAUCUGAGCCGGCUGCCGGCGUAACGGGCAUAGCGCAUGAUUCGGAGCCGGGUG
rnacentral:SRP_RNA from 1 species